GGGACACGUGGUAUCCUGUCUGAAUAUGGGGGGACCAUCCUCCAAGGCUAAAUACUCCUGACUGACCGAUAGUGAACCAGUACCGUGAGGGAAAGGCGAAAAGAACCCCGGCGAGGGGAGUGAAAAAGAACCUGAAACCGUGUACGUACAAGCAGUGGGAGCACGCUUAGGCGUGUGACUGCGUACCUUUUGUAUAAUGGGUCAGCGACUUAUAUUCUGUAGCAAGGUUAACCGAAUAGGGGAGCCGAAGGGAAACCGAGUCUUAACUGGGCGUUAAGUUGCAGGGUAUAGACCCGAAACCCGGUGAUCUAGCCAUGGGCAGGUUGAAGGUUGGGUAACACUAACUGGAGGACCGAACCGACUAAUGUUGAAAAAUUAGCGGAUGACUUGUGGCUGGGGGUGAAAGGCCAAUCAAACCGGGAGAUAGCUGGUUCUCCCCGAAAGCUAUUUAGGUAGCGCCUCGUGAAUUCAUCUCCGGGGGUAGAGCACUGUUUCGGCAAGGGGGUCAUCCCGACUUACCAACCCGAUGCAAACUACGAAUACCGGAGAAUGUUAUCACGGGAGACACACGGCGGGUGCUAACGUCCGUCGUGAAGAGGGAAACAACCCAGACCGCCAGCUAAGGUCCCAAAGUCAUGGUUAAGUGGGAAACGAUGUGGGAAGGCCCAGACAGCCAGGAUGUUGGCUUAGAAGCAGCCAUCAUUUAAAGAAAGCGUAAUAGCUCACUGGUCGAGUCGGCCUGCGCGGAAGAUGUAACGGGGCUAAACCAUGCACCGAAGCUGCGGCAGCGACGCUGAUGCGUUGUUGGGUAGGGGAGCGUUCUGUAAGCCUGCGAAGGUGUGCUGUGAGGCAUGCUGGAGGUAUCAGAAGUGCGAAUGCUGACAUAAGUAACGAUAAAGCGGGUGAAAAGCCCGCUCGCCGGAAGACCAAGGGUUCCUGUCCAACGUUAAUCGGGGCAGGGUGAGUCGACCCCUAAGGCGAGGCCGAAAGGCGUAGUCGAUGGGAAACAGGUUAAUAUUCCUGUACUUGGUGUUACUGCGAAGGGGGGACGGAGAAGGCUAUGUUGGCCGGGCGACGGUUGUCCCGGUUUAAGCGUGUAGGCUGGUUUUCCAGGCAAAUCCGGAAAAUCAAGGCUGAGGCGUGAUGACGAGGCACUACGGUGCUGAAGCAACAAAUGCCCUGCUUCCAGGAAAAGCCUCUAAGCAUCAGGUAACAUCAAAUCGUACCCCAAACCGACACAGGUGGUCAGGUAGAGAAUACCAAGGCGCUUGAGAGAACUCGGGUGAAGGAACUAGGCAAAAUGGUGCCGUAACUUCGGGAGAAGGCACGCUGAUA
rnacentral:rRNA from 1 species